rnacentral:sRNA from 12 species
GCUUUCAACAUCCCCGUUCCAAGAUGAAGCUGACGAAAGGCAGGUUUGUCGCGGCUUAUCUGGAGCUGAAAGC